UCCCCCCAAAAAAACCAAUAUCUUCUGCCCAAAAACCAGAAAAUUUUCCUUCUCUGCCGCCCAACAUCUCUCUUUCUCGCUCUUCCACUGAAUCGCAGAAUCUCUCUACAACGCUGAUUCAUUCAAAAUCCAACUUCACGGCUCAAGGUGCUCUCUACAACGCUGAUUGUUGUCAAACACUGAUUUUGGUGUGAGAAAAGCUUUGGUUUCGUGGAGCUGUUGCAUUUUGGUUAUUUUUUGGAUUUUAUGUUGGAGAGAAGUAGAAGAAUCUCUUAAAAUGCUAUUAAAGAUGAGGAUCAUUUCUGUUCCCUUUGUUAUUCAGAAACAUGCUGACUUUGCAACCACGGGAACGUUAUUGGCGAAGCGCUGUAUUCAUGCUGCAGGAUCUUGCUACUCCAAUCAGCGAGACCAGGAUG